UACGGGGGGGCAAGCGUUGUUCGGAAUUACUGGGCGUAAAGGGCUCGUAGGUUGCCAACUAAGUCAGACGUGAAAUCCCUCGGCUUAACCGGGGAACUGCGUCUGAUACUGGAUGGCUUGAGUUUGGGAGAGGGACGCGGAAUUCCAGGUGUAGCGGUGAAAUGCGUAGAUAUCUGGAGGAACACCGGUGGCGAAGGCGGCGUCCUGGACCAACACUGACACUGAUGAGCGAAAGCCAGGGGAGCAAACGGG
rnacentral:rRNA from 1 species